GGCUUGUGGCAGUGGUAGAGCACUUGCCUGGCAUGCGUGAGGUACUGGGUUCUAUCCCCAGCACCA
rnacentral:tRNA from 1 species